AGGAUUGUUCAGUGUGGAUACAGUGAGGAAAUUGCUGAACGGGUUAUAUUGAGGAGUGGCCUCUAUCAUGGUACCAAGGAUACCGUAUCAAAUAUUGUUGAUGGUGCUUUGGCUUUACUGAGUAGGGAAAAGGAUUUUGAUACCUCUAGACAUCUCAGAUACCGUCUCAAAUAUUGUUGAUGGUGCUUUGGCUUUACUGAGUAGGGAAAAGGAUUUUGAUACCUCUAGACAUCUCACGUUUUCUGAUUUACAUGGGCUGGUAGAGUACACCAUGCUGGAGAUGAUAUGUGUGCUGAGGGAGGUUAAGCCAGCUUUCACAGUUGCUGAAGCAAUGUGGUGCCUCUUAAUAUGGGACUUGAAC
rnacentral:lncRNA from 1 species